UAUUAGGUUGGUGCAAAAGUGAUUGUGGUUUUUGCCAUUAGUAGUGGCAAAAAACCCCAAUCACUUUUGCACCAACCUAAUAAA
rnacentral:miRNA from 1 species